CUGUUAUACCACUUACACAGUGGUGGCUUCUCCGCAAGAAUCCUGGACCCUGUAGUUGAAGAGUGCUGAGAGUUGUUAGAAGACCCCUGUUUCUGUCACAUACCUACGGUCAAUCCCUCUUCCCAGGGAACCUUGAGAAUUGUUGCUCUGCAAGGGGAAUAGGGGCCUUCUAACAACUCUCUGCAGGGACGCGGGUGGCGCUGUGGGUUAAACCACAGAGCCUAGGACUUGCCGAUCAGAAGAUUGGCGGUUCGAAUCCCCGCGACAGGGUGAGCUCCCGUUGCUCGGUCCCUGCUCCUGCCAACCUAGCAGUUCGAAAGCAUGUCAAAGUGCAAGUAGAUAAAUAGGUACCACUCCGGCGGGAAGGUAAACGGUGUUUCCGUGCGCUGCUCUGGUUCGCCAGAAGCGGCUUAGUCAUGCUGGCCACAUGACCCGGAAGCUGUAUGCUGGCUCCCUCGACCAAUAAAGCAAGAUAAGCGCCGCAACCCCAGAGUCGGCCAUGACUGGACCUAAUGGCCAGGGGUCCCUUUACCUUUUUAACAACUCUCUGCAGUGGCAGAGGAAGAGGGGGUGCGGUAGGGGUGGUCUGACCCAGGUGUCAUCCCUUCUGGGGGGUUGAUGUUCAGCACACCGCAUGUCCGUGACCCCAAGCCAUCAGGGGAAGGGGGGAGUUGUACUGCUUUGCCGGCGCCAUUCCGCCCUUCCCCCUUCAUUUUGACAGCUGGGGGAGGUUUGGUAGUCGCGGGUGGGUGGCACACCAAAUGUCCGCCAUCAGCGGCUUGCUUCACCCACAUGGGUGGCUCGCUCUGCCCCCGACUGCAGCGCACAUGAGCUGCUCCGUGCACUCAAGUGGCUAUCCCACUCCACCCCCUGCUCCCCUUGGGAGUACGCCCCACCCCCUUCAGGAGCACGCCCAACUUGGGCAGCGCAGGCACAUGCUCCGCCGCUGACUAUCUGCACCCUUAAGAAGUUGCACUUCCCAUGAGUCUUUGGGGGAAGCCAUGGGUGUUUAAAGUGACAUGAUAACUCUAAAUGUGUAGUGCAGAUUGGGCCUGAGUGGAGCAGGGGUAAGUGAUCAUUGAAUCAUAGAAGUGUUGGGAGAGACUCAGUGGUUCAUUUUAUCCACACGGAUCCCUACAAUGCAGGAAUAUGCAUCGGGUCAAACCCCUGACUUUGGCAUUUUCAGCACCGCACUCUAACUAACUGAGCCGCCUUCAUGACUUUCAGUGGCAACCUUGUGUUCUUUGUGAAAUGUAGUUGUGCUCUCCUUGCCCAUUCCUGGCAAAGCUGCAAUUGUUUGGAAUGCUCUUUCAAAGUGUCUCCAGCACACAGCCCUCCUUUUAUUUGUGUUUUAUGAGAAGUGUGUUGGUUUCAAAAGAGCACAGUUCUCAGAGACAUCAAAAUUGAAUUUUCGGCAAUUUCUUCAGGCAACCUAGAAUGAUAGGACAUAAGAAGAAGGCCCUAGUGAGAAUACUGCUGAGUGUCAGGAAAGAUCCACAAAGCAUGAACACAAGAUUUAUAUUGUCAAAGCUCUGCAGAAAAGGAAAAAAUCGGCAAAGUAUCAGCAUUAUAUAGUGGCAGGAUAUUUUCUUUUUUGUUGCUGUUAAUUGUCAAUGGUAUGUGUCACUGCAAUGAUGUUAUGAAAUGAAUGUGAAAUUAUUCCUCAGUGUGUUAAACACCGCAGGCUCCUCUUUUAAAACAACAACAAAAAAUGCAUUCCCCCUUUUGUUUUCUCUUUGUAUAAAGGAUGUGAGCUGGCUGAGUGGGAUCAAUGAAGCAAGUUGUAAAUGAGGAAAUGUAUGAAAGGGAAAUUGUAAUUAGUGUACACACACACAAAAGACAAUGCAUCCACUGUAGAGCACAAUUGCUGCUGUGCUAUACUGUUUUCGGGUAGUGAUGUGGAAUCAAGGUUAUGAGUCAAUAUCAUUGCUAAGCCAAACCAGGAGCUCACUGGUGUUCUGUGUUGUCCCGUGGAGUUCUUGCUGUAUUGGUUGUUGUGGGCUGGGUAGGGCGGCCCGGCAAAUAAACACCCUCUAAGCUCCAUAGAGGGACGCGGGUAGCGCUGUGGUCUAAACCACAGAGCCUAAGGCUUGCCGAUCAGAAGGUCGAUGGUUUGAAUCCUCACAACGGGGUGAGCUCCCGUUGCUCGGUCCCAGCUCCUGCCAACCUAGCAGUUCAAAAGCACAUCAAGUGCAAGUAGAUAAAUAGGUACUGCUCUGGCGGGAAGGUAAACGGUGUUUCCAUGCACUGUUCUGGUUCGCCAGAAGUGGCUUUGUCAUGCUGGCCACAUGACCGGGAAGCUGUCUGCGGACAAACGCCGGCUCCCUCAGCCUAUAGAGCGAGAUGAGCCUGCAACCCCAGAGUCGUCUGCGACUGGACCUAACGGUCAGGGGUCCCUUUACCUUUGCCUUAAGCUCCAUAGAGUGUUCAUGCAUACAUGUCUCCUGUGUGAAUAUGCCAUCACAGGUUGAACUUCCGCGUUAUUCAUAGAGGGGCUAGGAGAACAGGUUGGGUACCCAGGAGGAAAUCCCAGACUUGAUUCUCUCUUCUGCCAUUAACUCACUAGGUGACUUUAGGAGAGCUAUAGUUUUCUGUUUCCCUGUCUGUGACAUGGGGAUAACAAUCUUGAUAUGUUUACAAGGAUUAUAGAGAUAAUGUCCACAGUGUAUUCUGAAACACUGCAAAUCACUACUUAUGCACUAAGGGUGGCGGCUGCUGCUGCUAUUAUGAAUAUAUUACCUCAGAUGUGAUGGUUUUAAUUAAAGGGAGUCAGUUCACACAUGCAGGUGUAAGUCAUCCAACAAUGAGACGUUGAUGGAACGAUGCCAACUCAGAUGUGGACCUGCCCUAUAUUGAACAACAGAGCCUUAUAUAUCUUCACAUGUAAGAGAUAAUUAGCACAUAACAAUUUUGUCUUGUUUUGAACAAAGUAAAGCCAAUCUAAUUUGCUAGUCAAAUAGAUUGUGUGAUUAUUACAUUAAACUGGACUUAGUAUUGCUUUUAAUUUGUAGUAUAGGCAUCUAACAGAAAUUGAGUAUUGAGCAUCUAACAGAAAGGUGGCAUAAGGAGUAACAUGACUGCAAAUAGGAGAUCAUCUUUCCCUCAUGCAACACUUUCAAAAGGGAUGCAAGUUCUGAGUGAAACAAUCACAUGACAGAUGAUCUGCAUCUUUGGGGAUAAAUGAACCUAAGUUAGUCAUUGCUAUUAAUUUCAAUUUCUGUUAAUUCUCAUGAGCAGAUCUUGCUCCACAAUAAUCCUCACGUCAUAUCCAGCUAUCUCAAUCCUUCAGAAGAUGUUGCCAAGGCCACCAUCAGACGUUGGCAUUAUUGGGUGACUAUUAGCAGUGUAGGGACAUCAACCUGGGCUAUACCAGGAUAGCAUGGAGAGAGGUUUAGGGAUUUGCUUCUCAGCUAGCCUGAUCUUGCCACCAAGUUCAUCAUUUGAACAUUGGGAUCCUUAAGGCUUUAAUCUGCCUAUCUCCCAGUGAUCCCAGUGCAUAUGUUGGAUGUGUGUCCACAUAUAUGUCUGUGUGUAGGGAUGUGUGAGUAUGUUCAUUGGGUGUGUGUUGUGUCUAUGGCUCCACACACCACCAGAGAAGCAGCCACAUCUGCUGCUAACCAUGCCAAUUAGCACAAGACCUCGAGGCACCCAUCCACCAGUGGUUUUCAGCUUGCUUUAUUUUCCUCUGCUCUCUGGUGUACGGAGGGUUCAAAUGGGCUCUCCUCAGCUGAAGAGUGUGCAUAGGAACAAUUAUGUCAACAGCCCAAUUCACCUCCAUUGUACCAUUCCAUCUGUUUCUGAUAUUCAGAUUCAAGUUAUGGGAUAUUUCAGUCAAACAUAGUUAUGCAUGAGUGCUAGUUAGUGCAUAAAGGAGUUAAACUCAUAGAGCUGUGUUCCUAGACUUAGUUAGGUCAUGCCCCUUCUUCUCCAUUAGAGAGGAAGCAAAGCCUUCUCUUCCUGUCCCCCCACCUCUCUGCGCCAUGUAACUGACCAAGGAAGAUGUGCCUAAGCAAGCUCCAAUCUCAGAGCACGUGUUUGAAGCUAGCUUUCCAUAUUGUCUACCCACCUGUAUUCCGUUCUCCUUGUGUUCUCCUUGGUGCUGUUUGCAUAAAUGCACAAAUCUGACCUUUGGAAUGUUUUGUAAGUAAAGCAUUUUAAACUUACUUUAACAGUUAGCGGUGUGUUCAUUGCAAGAGGGGUAGAAAGAGGGGGCUGCUUUGCAAGCAGAGUAAAUGGGAUAUGGAAAAGGUUUAACAGCCAACUUUCCUAAUGCUUUACUGUGCUGCUUGACUUUGUGAGUUUAAACUGUGCUACUGGGGCCUGUCUUCUGCUGGAGAGUGAGCUUACCCCACAUUUUUAAUCCAUGCACCCAACUGAUUCUUUUGCUAUUUAGCCCACAUACGUAGGUCACAGAGAUUCCUAUUUCCCUCCCACAUUAGUACUGCUACUUAGGUAGCCCAAACAGUACCACCUUGCACACACAGAGAGAAAGCAUCCAUGCUCGGGGGGGGGGGGGCGGUUCCUGAGAUUUCUAGAAGUAAAAUAAACAAAAACAGAAUGGUUUUUUUAAAAAGGAAAAAACGUGUGUGCUCAGGUAGAGUGGGAAAGAGCUAGGAGAGAACACAGGUACCACCAUCUGUGGUGAGGAGAUUUUCCCACCGUGGGCCCUCUCCAAGCUGAGAAGGGAAAGUUCUGAAGAUGAUGACUGGACCAGCUGACAGACAACCCUCGUUCUUUGUCUUUAAUGGUUUUCAGUCAUCUCUCCUCGGCCAAUGAGACUUUCUCCCCUCACAGCAGCAAGAAAGGAGGGGGCUGGAGGUGCGGAAUGGGCUGGCUGAAACCAUCCAUCCAUUCUCUCCCAUCCCUUCCUCAGGCAAGGAGUCCAGAUAUCUCAAGAAGGAUUGCACAUGCUCAGAAGUCAUGGGUUGCUAACUUGCUUCUGGAAAACGGAGGAAAUGAAAUGGAACAUUUUGGAAGAAGGCUGGCAACAUUUUGUUGCUGGUACACUAGGUAAAGGUAAAGGGACCCCUAACCAUUAGGUCCAGUUGUGACCGACUCUGGGGUUGCAGCGCUCAUCUCGCUUUAUUGGCCGAG
rnacentral:lncRNA from 1 species